rnacentral:rRNA from 1 species
GUAGGUGGCGAGCGUUAUCCGGAAUUAUUGGGCGUAAAGCGUGCGUAGGUGGUUAUCUAAGCGUAAGGUUUAAGCGUGCAGCUCAACUGCAUCUCGCCUUGCGAACUGGACUACUUGAGUGCAGGAGGGGAAAGCGGAAUUCCUAGUGUAGCGGUGAAAUGCGUAGAUAUUAGGAGGAACACCAGUGGCGAAGGCGGCUUUCUGGACUGUAACUGACACUGAGGCACGAAAGCGUGGGGAGCAAACAGGAUUAGAUACCCUGGUAGUCCACGUCGUAAACGAUGAGCACUAGAUGUUGGUCCCGAAGGGAUCAGUGUCGCAGUUAACGCAAUAAGUGCUCCGCCUGGGGAGUACGCUCGCAAGAGUAAAACUCAAAGG